rnacentral:rRNA from 1 species
GGUUGCAAUCGCCUUGUUAUUAAUUCUGAUAAUUUGAAUGUUAUUGAAACGAUGAAUAAUAAUGGACGGUCAGCAGGAGCAGCACCGGCAAUUUUUGAUGAUUGCUAUUUUUUAACGUGUGAUUUUUCUACCUUCAGGUUUCAACAUUGUAAUAGAAAAGCUAAUAAGGUUACGCACAAGCUUGCUAGGUUGGCUAGAUUUUCUUCUUAUAUUUAA